rnacentral:rRNA from 1 species
GACGAACGCUGGCGGCGUGCUUAACACAUGCGAGUCGAACGGAAAGGCCCUGCUUUUGUGGGGUGCUCGAGUGGCGAACGGGUGAGUAACACGUGAGUAACCUGCCCUUGACUUUGGGAUAACUUCAGGAAACUGGGGCUAAUACCGGAUAGGAGCUCCUGCUGCAUGGUGGGGGGUGGAAAGUUUCGGCGGUUGGGGAUGGACUCGCGGCUUAUCAGCUUGUUGGUGGGGUAGUGGCUUACCAAGGCUUUGACGGGUAGCCGGCCUGGGAGGGUGACCGGCCACAUUGGGACUGAGAUACGGCCCAGGCUCCUACGGGAGGCAGCAGUGGGGAAUAUUGCACAAUGGGCGGAAGCCUGAUGCAGCAACGCCGCGUGCGGGAUGACGGCCUUCGGGUUGUAAACCGCUUUCGCCUGUGACGAAGCGUGAGUGACGGUAAUGGGUAGAGAAGCACCGGCUAACUACGUG